AAACAUCGCUUCUUGUAAAAGAAGAAAAAUAAGAGGUCCSGCCUGCCUGUGACUUAUUGUUUAACGGCCGCGGUAUUUUGACCGUGCGAAGGUAGCGCAAUCACUUGUCUUUUAAAUGGAGACCUGUAUGAAUGGCAAGACGAAGGCUUAACUGUCUCCUUUUCCAAGUCAAUGAAAUUGAUCUACCCGUGCAGAAGCGGGUAUAAUAACAUAAGACGAGAAGACCCUAUGGAGCUUCAGACACUAAAGUAGAUCAUACCCUCUGUACUUAAACAAAAACAAUACAAGCCUAGUGAUACCUUCCCUAAUGUCUUUGGUUGGGGCGACCAUGGGGAAACAAAAAACCCCCACAUGGAGUGGGCACACAGUUCCUAUAAAUAAGAGCCACAGCUCUAGUUACCAGUAUUUUUGACCAAUAAAGAUCCGGCAACGCCGAUUAAUGAACCAAGUUACCCUAGGGAUAACAGCGCAAUCCCCUUUAAGAGUCCAUAUCGACAAGGGGGUUUACGACCUCGAUGUUGGAUCAGGACAUCCUAAUGGUGCAGCCGCUAUUAAGGGUUCGUUUGUUCAACGAUUAACAGUCCUACGUGAUCUGAGU
rnacentral:rRNA from 1 species